rnacentral:ncRNA from 2 species
UGUUUAGAUAAAAAUAUUACUCAUAUAAACUGCAAAUACGGUGCAGUGUAUCUACGACUAACCUUAAAUUGGUCUCUAUGAGAGGUGUAAUGACUUAG